GAGGAUGACAUGGUUGGAUGGCGUUAUGGACUCAAUGACAUGAGUUUGAGCAAUCUCCCGGAGAUAGUGAAGGACAGGGAAGCCUGGCGUGCUGCAGUCCAUGAGGUCUCAAAUAGUCAGAUGUAACUGAGUGAUUGAAAACGACAACUUAAACAAUCAUGGCAUCUG